rnacentral:rRNA from 1 species
GAUCCUGGCUCAGGAUGAACGCUAGCUACAGGCUUAACACAUGCAAGUCGAGGGGCAGCGGGAUUGAAGCUUGCUUCAAUUGCCGGCGACCGGCGCACGGGUGAGUAACGCGUAUCCAACCUUCCGUACACUCAGGGAUAGCCUUUCGAAAGAAAGAUUAAUACCUGAUGGUAUCUUAAGCACACAUGUAAUUAAGAUUAAAGAUUUAUCGGUGUACGAUGGGGAUACGGUUCCAUUAGGUAGUAGGCGGGG